rnacentral:piRNA from 1 species
UGGACCUGAUGUUCUGCUGAAAGGGUGAGA